rnacentral:rRNA from 1 species
GUCAAAUACCCCCUACUAAGGGCCUGAACUAAAUGGAACCUGCCUUGAUGUCUUCGGUUGGGGCGACCAUGGGGAAUACAAAACCCCCACGUGGAAAGGGAGCACACCCCUAAGUUACUUCUUCUCCCGCAAGCCAAAGCAACAGCUCUAACAAGCAGAAAUUCUGACCAAACUGAUCCGGUAAAACCGAUCAACGAACCA